rnacentral:rRNA from 1 species
CCUACGGGAGGCAGCAGUAAGGAAUCUUCCACAAUGGACGAAAGUCUGAUGGAGCAACGCCGCGUGCAGGAUGAAGGCUUUCGGGUCGUAAACUGCUUUUAUAUGGGAAGAUUAUGACGGUACCAUAUGAAUAAGGACCGGCUAACUACGUGCCAGCAGCCGCGGUAAUACGUAGGGUCCAAGCGAUAUCCGGAAUUACUGGGCGUAAAGCGUGUGUAGGUGGAUUAAUAAGUGUGAUGCGAAAUCCGGCGGCUCAACCGUUUGGACUGUGUCGCAUACUGUUAGUCUAGAGGACGGCAGAGGUAAGUGGAAUUACGGGUGUAGCAGUGAAAUGCGUAGAUAUCCGUAGGAACACCAAUGGCGAAGGCAGCUUACUGGGCCACACCUGACACUGAGACACGAAAGCGUGGGGAGCGAACAGGAUUAGAUACCCUGGUAGUCCACGCCGUAAACGAUGCAUACUAUUAGUAUGGGGUAUCGACCCCCUGUGCUGAGAAGCUAACGCGAUAAGUAUGCCGCCGUCGGGAGGUAGAGCGCGAGAACGUAAACUAACUUAAAUUAAGUAAGUUAGUUAGGCGNGAGAGNGCGACGACGACGACGAGGGAGGAGG